AGUGAACGCUGGCGGUAGGCCUAACACAUGCAAGUCGAACGGCAGCAUAGUAAGAGCUUGCUCUUACGGGUGGCGAGUGGCGGACGGGUGAGGAAUACAUCGGAAUCUACUUUUUCGUGGGGAAUAACGUAGGGAAACUUACGCUAAUACCGCAUACGACCUACGGGUGAAAGCAGGGGAUCUUCGGACCUUGCGCGAUUGAAUGAGCCGAUGUCGGAUUAGCUAGUUGGCGGGGUAAAGGCCCACCAAGGCGACGAUCCGUAGCUGGUCUGAGAGGAUGAUCAGCCACACUGGAACUGAGACACGGUCCAGACUCCUACGGGAGGCAGCAGUGGGGAAUAUUGGACAAUGGGCGCAAGCCUGAUCCAGCCAUACCGCGUGGGUGAAGAAGGCCUUCGGGUUGUAAAGCCCUUUUGUUGGGAAAGAAAAGCAGCAGGUUAAUACCCCGCUGUUCUGACGGUACCCAAAGAAUAAGCACCGGCUAACUUCGUG
rnacentral:rRNA from 1 species